GAUGAACGCUGGCGGCGUGCCUAAUACAUGCAAGUCGAGCGAACAGACGAGGAGCUUGCUCCUCUGACGUUAGCGGCGGACGGGUGAGUAACACGUGGAUAACCUACCUAUAAGACUGGGAUAACUUCGGGAAACCGGAGCUAAUACCGGAUAAUAUAUUGAACCGCAUGGUUCAAUAGUGAAAGACGGUUUUGCUGUCACUUAUAGAUGGAUCCGCGCCGCAUUAGCUAGUUGGUAAGGUAACGGCUUACCAAGGCGACGAUGCGUAGCCGACCUGAGAGGGUGAUCGGCCAGACUGGAACUGAGACACGGUCCAGACUCCUACGGGGGGCAGCAGUAGGGAAUCUUCCGCAAUGGGCGAAAGCCUGACGGAGCAACGCCGCGUGAGUGAUGAAGGUCUUCGGAUCGUAAAACUCUGUUAUUAGGGAAGAACAAAUGUGUAAGUAACUAUGCACGUCUUGACGGUACCUAAUCAGAAAGCCACGGCUAACUACGUG
rnacentral:rRNA from 1 species